rnacentral:pre_miRNA from 1 species
GGUUCAAAAUUUCAUCAAUUUCUACUGUUAAAAACUGAUGUGGUUGACAGAAUAAUUUGACAAUUACACUAGUGUGCUACAUGUACCUCAUUCUGACGUAUAGAGAUCAAUUUUUAAUAGUAGGACCAGUUUACUCUUUGAUCU